GACGAACGCUGGCGGCGUGCUUAACACAUGCAAGUCGAGCGGUAAGGCCCUUCGGGGUACACGAGCGGCGAACGGGUGAGUAACACGUGGGUGACCUGCCCCCAACUCUGGGAUAAGCCCGGGAAACUGGGUCUAAUACCGGAUAUGACCACAUACUGCAUAGUGCGUGGUGGAAAGUGCGUUCUUAAUUGAGCGAGUCGGUUGGGGAUGGGCCCGCGGCCUAUCAGCUUGUUGGUGGGGUGAUGGCCUACCAAGGCGACGACGGGUAGCCGGCCUGAGAGGGCGACCGGCCACACUGGGACUGAGACACGGCCCAGACUCCUACGGGAGGCAGCAGUGGGGAAUAUUGCGCAAUGGGCGGAAGCCUGACGCAGCGACGCCGCGUGGGGGAUGACGGCCUUCGGGUUGUAAACCUCUUUCGACCGGGACGAAGAGAGAUUGACGGUACCGGUAUAAGAAGCACCGGCCAACUACGUGCCAGCAGCCGCAGUAACAC
rnacentral:rRNA from 1 species